rnacentral:tRNA from 1 species
GGGGUUGUAGCUCAGUGGUAGAGCACUCACCUAGCAUGUGUGAGGCACUGGGUUUGAUCCUCAGUACCCCA